GAUGAACGCUGGCGGCGUGCCUAAUACAUGCAAGUCGAGCGAACGGACGAGAAGCUUGCUUCUCUGAUGUUAGCGGCGGACGGGUGAGUAACACGUGGAUAACCUACCUAUAAGACUUGGAUAACUUCGGGAAACCGUAACUACUACCGGAUAAUAUUUUGAACCGCAUGGUUCAAAAGUGAUAGACGGUCUUGCUGUCACUUCUAGAUGGAUCCGCGCUGCAUUAGCUAGUUGGUAAGGUAACGGCUUACCAAGGCAACGAUGCAUAGCCGACCUGAGAGGGUGAUCGGCCACACUGGAACUGAGACACGGUCCAGACUCCUACGGGAGGCAGCAGUAGGGAAUCUUGCGAAAUGGGCGAAAGCCUGACGGAGCAACGCCGCGUGAGUGAUGAAGGGCUUCGGAUCGUAAAACUCUGUUAUUAGGGAAGAACAUUUGUGUAAGUAACUGUGCACAUCUUGACGGUACCUAAUCAGAAAGCCACGGCUAACUACGUG
rnacentral:rRNA from 1 species